CAAGGACCAGACGUCAUAAAGCUUGACGUAAACGUCUGCAGCAAGAUCUGAUAUAAACAUAAACAAAGAUAAUACUUACGUAUAUGAAGAAAGAGUAGUAGGUUUCAAUUACUGAAUAAGGUACCGAUUAGUGGAAGAGGCAAAAUGAAAUGAAAUGGGGUUUAAAGUUCUACUGUUUAGCAUGUGCUGGGCUUAUGAAGACGGGCAUACGCCAUACAGUGUACUGUGAGGGAAAUUUUGCUUGGACAACAGCACAGCGGCCUACUCUUAUAUUAAAUUCCAACCUUCUGAGCCAACACCAGACCUCCAGUAACCUUGGUGUUCUCUUUUGUAAUCACCAUAUUAUCGCCAUGUGUG